GGACGGGGAGGAAGAGGGUCUCACCAGGGCUUCAUCCUUGCCUCCUUAAGGAUAUCCCUUCUCCUACCCUGCCCCUGUCAGCUCUUUGAUGGAGGAGAGAGCAAAAGGCCCACUGGAGAGCUGGCUUCUGAACAACAUGGAGCCUCCGUCACCAUCCGCCUGGUAUCUUCUUUCAAGACUCCCCUGUGCCGUGGGGACUGAAUCUGUCCGUAGUCACAUCAUCUUUACGAUCAUAAUCCUCAGGUCACAUUUCAAAUAUAUGUUUGCAGCUUACUUUCUAAGAACCAAAGUGAUUUUGCAAACUAAUUUCACUCUCAAGAGAGAUGGAGUCAGUUGUCUGCUCACUGUCUCGGAAUAAUCUGAAGGAAUGCACUGAAUCCACUUUCAUGGACCCCUAUCUGAGAAAUAUUGACGGUCAGAACCCAGCGCUGGGCGUUUCCUAAGCAUUAAAUUACAUUGCUCAGAGGCA